rnacentral:rRNA from 1 species
CGGCGGACGGGUGAGUAACGCGUGGGUAACCGUGCCUCAUACAGGGGGAUAACAGUUGGAAACGGACUGCUAAUACCGCAUAAGCGCACAGUACCGCAUGGUACGGUGUGAAAAACUCCGGUGGUAUGAGAUGGACCCGCGUCUGAUUAGGUAGUUGGUGGGGUAACGGCCUACCAAGCCGACGAUCAGUAGCCGACCUGAGAGGGUGACCGGCCACAUUGGGACUGAGACACGGCCCAA